ensembl:lncRNA
UUUUUUUUUUUUUUCUUUCAUUUUUAGGGCCGCACCUGCAGCAUAUGGAAGUUCCUAGGCUAGGGGUCCAAUCAGAGCUACAGCUGCCGGCCUACACCCCAGCCACAGCAAUGCCAGAUCUGAGCCAUGUCUGCGACCCACACCACAGUUCAUGGCAAUGCCAGAUCCUGAACUCACUGAGCAAGGCCAGGGAUGGAACCUGUAUUCUCAUGGAUGCUAUGUCAGGUCCUUCACCUGCUGAGCCACAACGAGAACUCUCAGGACUCAUGGUUAUAAAGUGAGUGUCCAGGCUGUGAUGGUUCCAGGACAGAACCCCACGCAGGUGGGUCUCUGGGCCUCCAGACCCACGUCCACACAGGAUCCUAAACCCCGCAUCCCAGAGCCGACCUUCCCACCCCAACUCCCAGGGCAGAGUAAUCCAGCCUCCAACCAGCCAGGCUAAGCACAGAAACCACCCGAGUCUGUCACUCACUCCCAGUUCAGCCAAGGGCCCAGGACAGCCUACCCUGUGACCUCCUGGGGGGCGGGAUGGCCAAGACUCCCGGUCCCCUGAAUCUGACGGCCACGCAGCCUCCUUCCAAUGAGGGCGUUUACUGAGCCCUAACUGCGCGUCAGUCCCUAUGCCUGAUGACACCAGGCUCCCAGCACUCAGAGGGGUGGGGGGCUCACCGGGGUCCCAUGGCCAGCAAGCUGACCCUCAAGCCCUCACCACUCUGCUGUCUUGCCCCAGAGUGGGGAUCUGACCCCAACUUCAUGUUACCUGGACACUUGGUGUGUUCAUUUAUGACAAUCUCUGCCCUGUAGAUAAGCCACACUCGAGAUGUGCAGUGUUUCCUAUCAUAAUGAACGGAAGAAAGACCCUCUUUUUUUUUUUUUUUUUUUUUCUUUUUCGCUUUUUAGGGCUGCGCCCGCACCAUAUGAAGGUUCCCAGGCUGCGGGUGCGGCCCUGAAAAGACAAAAAAAAAAAAAAUUCCAGAACUCCAUUUCAUAGUAAUCAAAGAAAUGAACAUUGAGACAAUGAGCUACUCUUUUCUUCCCCUUAAAGUUGGCCAUUAUUGAGAAAAACAAUAAUACCCGGUGCUGGCAAGGAUGCAGGAAAACAAGCACACUCUCAUCCACUUUUGCUGCAAAUAUAAAUGGGAACAUAAUUUGUGGAGAGCAAUUGAACAAACUUUUCAAUCAAAAGCCUUUUAAGAUGUGUCCAGCCUUUAAUGCCACUACUUCAUUUGGGGAACUUUGUCUUCAAGAAGAGAUAUUUGCAAAGAUUUACUACAAAGAUGUUCAUGCCAAGAUCUAGUACAGACAUGCUUGUCACAGCACCAUUUGUAUUGGAGGAAACAAAAGCAACCUAACUGUCCAAAGGCUGGGGAUUAAAUAAAAUAUGUUGCAUUCAUAUGAUGUCCCAUGUAAAAAACAUGUUUUAGAAGGGCAGUUAGCGAUGGGGCAAACAUUUGCAAUUGUCAGAUUUUUAAAAGUUCAGAAGUAUAUAAUCCAAAAAUAAAAAGGAAGUGAUCCAAAAUUUACAAGCUGUACCAAGCCCUGUGGAGUCUUCCGUUUAAACACAUGUCGGAUCUGCCCUUGAUGUCAUCCCCACGGAUACCCCCCGUUCAUUGCCAUGAUCUGCCAGCUCCGAUUACAACCUCCCCCUCGAAUCCAUCCUUUGGACCAGGGGCUAGGAUGAUGUCCAAACCCAAUCUGCCGUGUCCACCACCUCCGUCCACGAACUCCCACCCAUGUUGGGAAAGGACCAAACCCCUUCCUGCGGCCUUUGGGGCCCUGGGUGAGGGGUGGCGUGAGCCUGGCCCAUCGGCCUGCUGCAUCGCCCUUGGCCUGUGAUCUGCCCCAGAAGGGCUCAGGCCUGGCCUUGGGAGCAAAGGAAGCUGCAUUUGAUCCCAAGGCCAAGGCCAGGAGAAAGGGCUCUCGCCUGACACUGUGAGAUGGGAGAUGCCAGAACUCUCUGGAGUAAGAGUGGGGACAGAUGGAGCCGGAGGAGGCAGAAAGAGCCGGAAAAGGCGUGAGGACGAGGAAGCCCCCGGGGAGUCCCUGCCCCUCUCUGGCCUCUGCUUCUCUCAACAGGGGGUGGGCUUUAAACCACUGGGACCCAUCCUGCUCCAGAGGACAGAGGACUUGCCCCCAAGGAGCAGUGGCCACCAGGAGAGGUUACAAGGGUGCCCUCGGAAGCAGGCACCACGCUAAAGCCUUCAAAUGCCUUAAGUGGCCCUCCCAUCACUGGGGCCCCCGCGAUGCUCUUUUUCAGGGGAGGAAGACGAAGCUCCGUGAGACAGGGCUGCCAAGGAAAGGCCCAGAACCUGGACAUAUCUGGCCCCCGGGGUCUACCUCCCUCCUUGAGGCUCUGUGAUUAAACAGCCCCUAUGCUCCUUCCGGCCCACACUCGGACCUCAAAGCCUUCUCCCCUUUAGAAUCACAGGGUCACGUGGCCGAGCUCUGCAGAUGCGCAAACUGGUGCUCAGAGAGGGUAAAUGACUUGCCCAAGGUCACGGAGUCCGAGUGAGGACCCAGCCCCAUUCUCCAGGAUACUGAGUUCGUUUCUAACAUCAGACUGGCGAC